rnacentral:lncRNA from 1 species
AACUGUGCAUUGAUACUACUCCUGCUCGAUAAAACAUGGAAUUACUUCCACUUUCAUUUACUCAUAUUUUUUGUCACUGUUCUCUGUACACAUUGGUUUUAUUCCUCUCACAGCUGCAUCCUAAGCUAGAAACGGGAUUACAUGGCAUGCAUAUUUACAGAGGCUUAAGGAAAAUUGCAAAAUGAAACUAGAAAAGACUACCAUUUAUUUUUUUGAUUUUCGGGGCCUCGUUUUUGCCUCUUGCACGGUUGCUACUCCACGAGUGCGGCGAAGCAGCUCUCGGUG